UGAUAUUGAGCUUUACAUGCACUUGAACAGACUAGAAAUUGCACCACAGAUAUAUGGGUUCUGCCCUUGGAAGAAUUUGGAAACUCCAAGGGACAACACUUUAGUGAAAUGAGAAUUUAUUUGUGCUUGGCACAGUGUUCUAAUGAAGAGGGUUUCUUGGGCUGCUUUGUUUUGUGAGGAGGUGGCCAGUGAGGAAAGAGAAGAUUGAUGAUAGCCAGCACCUUGGAGGAUGCUUUUGAUUACAAGCUUCAGAAUAUCUUGCCUCAAACUAGCUGAAGUCUGGAGGUACUGUGACACAAGAGGCUCAAUUAAGGAUCCAAGAUUUUCGCCAUAUUUCCGCUGUGUUAACUUCAUCAUCAGUUUCUUAAGACAUACUCUCUUGUAAUCACAAAGUGAUUGACAAUGAUUUUGGAGCUAUAGGCUUUCUUGUUCUAGCCAAACUGGUGAGACAGAAUAAAACCGUUCACCAAGUACAA
rnacentral:lncRNA from 1 species